UGGUGGCGAUGGCGAAGGGGAACCACGCGUUCCCAUAUCGAACACGACCGUUAAGCCCUUCAGCGCCGAUGGUACUUGGACCGCAGGGUCCUGGGAGAGUAGGACGUCGCCA
rnacentral:rRNA from 1 species